rnacentral:rRNA from 1 species
UACCUGCAGCUCUAGUGGUGAUCGCUAUUAUUGGGCCUAAAACGUCCGUAGCCGGCUUAUUAAAUGCCUGGGCAAAUCGUGUAGCUUAACUAUACGAAUUCCGGGUAGACUGAUAGGCUUGAGACCGGGAGAAGCUAGAGGUACUCCUGGGGUAGAGGUGAAAUUCUGUAAUCCUAGGGGGACCACCAGUGGCGAAGGCGUCUAGCUAGAACGGGUCUGACGGUGAGGGACGAAGCCCUGGGGCGCAAACCGGAUUAGAUACCCGGGUAGUCCAGGGUGUAAACGCUGCUUGCUUGAUGUUAGUUGGGCUCUGAGCCCAAUUAGUGUCGGAGAGAAGUUGUUAAGCAAGCUGCCUGGGAAGUACGGUCGCAAGACUGAAACUUAAAGGAAUUGGCGGGGAGCACAGCAACGGGUGGAGCGUGCGGUUU